GAGCCUGCGGUAUUUAAAGCACAAAACAAAGAUGGCGCGGAACUGCGAGAAGAAGCUCAUUGGCCUCAACAGAUUAUGGCUUGCCAAGCAACAAAAAGAUGAAGAGGAGAGCCGUCCUACGAGACCACAUCUGCGUUCACUGAACAGUGCUUCAGAGGUUAAAAAGUGGAUUCCUGGAAUAAAAAAGGAAUUGGACUAUUAUUUAGAUCAACUUUCUGGAGCCAGAAAACAUCGUUAUCCUGACACAAAAAUGAAAGAAUUUGAAAAGAAGGUGGAAGAACUUGAAAAUGAAUACAAAAGGUUUGUCAAAAAGGUUUAUGAACUAGAUCCCAGCACAACAAGUGUUCCAUGGCAGCCAAGAGGUUAUGUCAGUAAACGGAAAACUACAGAUAGCUCACAAACAGAAGUGAAACCUAAAAAGAUCUGCACUCCUUUGUUGGAAAAGGAGGAUGCAAAUUCAUCAGAUGUGCAAAGUGGGAAGAUGAGAGAUUCUGCAGAUCUUCUAUUCACAGCCUGUGGCAGGACAACACAUCCUUCAAAUGACACAUGUAAAAUAAACUCAAAGAAUAUUGGAGGUGAUUUGGAACACCAGAGGGAUCAUAUAGAUGUUGGACCUAAACAUGCUCUAGGUUUAGAUUAUGACUCCUCCAGUGACUCUGAUGAUUCUUAGCACAGUUAAUAUCCAUAGGACUCAAGGCAGAACUUAAGAAUAAAUAUCAGGCAUCAGAACAAAACAGGGUUCUGCAGUUUCUUUGGGAUCUUUAGACACACAAAAACUGCACUAUAAUUUCAAAUAUUUGAUAAAGUUUUUAUUUCUAGUAACCUUUAUUUGUAAAGACAAACAAACAAAGACAAUUGAUACAAGUAUAUGAAAGGUAAUUCUUAAUUGUAUUAGGAAAUUAUGCUAGAUUUGAAAAUAACUUUUUAAAUAUAUGUAAAAAGCAAAACAAGAAAGAUAAAAAAAAUAAACUGUUAACACUAGAACUAUUUUCUGCAUCCCUGGAAAUGGCUGGAAAUCAGCUGCAUAAUCUUCAUCUUAAUCCUUGCUAUGAGAGAAUCUCAA
rnacentral:misc_RNA from 1 species